rnacentral:tRNA from 1 species
GGGCUUAUAGCUCAGCUGGUUAGAGCGCACGCCUGAUAAGCGUGAGGUCGAUGGUUCGAGUCCAUUUAAGCCC